GAUGAACGCUGGCGGCGUGCUUAACACAUGCAAGUCGAACGGUGAAGCAGGAGCUUGCUCUUGUGGAUCAGUGGCGAACGGGUGAGUAACACGUGAGCAACCUGCCCCUGACUCUGGGAUAAGCGCUGGAAACGGCGUCUAAUACUGGAUAUGUGAUGUGACCGCAUGGUCUGCAUCUGGAAAGAACUUCGGUUGGGGAUGGGCUCGCGGCCUAUCAGCUUGUUGGUGAGGUAAUGGCACACCAAGGCGUCGACGGGUAGCCGGCCUGAGAGGGUGACCGGCCACACUGGGACUGGGACACGGCCCAGACUCCUACGGGAGGCAGCAGUGGGGAAUAUUGCACAAUGGGCGGAAGCCUGAUGCAGCAACGCCGCGUGAGGGAUGACGGCCUUCGGGUUGUAAACCUCUUUUAGCAGGGAAGAAGCGAAAGUGACGGUACCUGCAGAAAAAGCACCGGCUAACUACGUGCCAGCCGCCGCCGUAA
rnacentral:rRNA from 1 species